AUUGAGAUCUGCAACUGCCAAAACCUCCCCGUCCUUCCUCUCUCAUCUUGUCCCCUCAAGAAGAUACCUACUUCCACCAAUCUCAACCUCACUACUACUGCACCCUCUUUCUAUGGAAAGAUGCAGUGCAGUGGAGAAGUAGAAGCAUUGAUGAUGGAGAAUUUGGCAAUGGACAUGUUGAACCUGUCUAUUUGAGAGAUGAUGAUCAUGAUCAUGAUCAUGAUGGAUGAUUGAUGAUAUAUAUAUAUUUAUAUGCAAAAAAAUUUAUAUUAUUUCUUCACCAACAUAAAUGAUAUUUAGUGUAGUGUAUUAUAGUUUGUAAUUUGUUGUUUUCUUGUUGUAAUUGAAGCUCAUUGCGAUAUCGUGAAAACAUUGAAUGAUGUGCAAA